UACGUACCGUCCAAACGUUAUUCGGAAUUACUGGGCUUAAAGGGUUUGUAGGCGGCGCUGUUAGUCGGGUGUGAAAUCCCAGGGCUCAACCCUGGAACUGCGCCCGAAACUGCAGUGCUUGAGGGAGACAGAGGUAAGCGGAACUGAUGGUGGAGCGGUGAAAUGCGUAGAUAUGUGGAGGAACACCAGUGGCGAAGGCGACUCUUUGGCCUGAAACUGACGCUGAGGCGCGAAAGCGUGGGGAGCAAACAGG
rnacentral:rRNA from 1 species